GUCUGCAAACCCUAAUUGACGCGGUUCGCAGUCACGACUGCCUCUCAUGUUGAACGCGCAUCUCCGAUCGAAUGCUUCGCAGUGGACGCCGCCGCUGCACUGCUGUUCCGUGGUCGUCUGCUGUAGCGGCAUAAUGAACAACAUAGCUUCACCAAGCCAUCCCUAGUUAUUCUGCUAGGAGAUCCUUGUUUGGACAUUAUGUUAAAACUCGUGCGGCAGAAGAACGCGAAGAAAAACUUGCAGCACAGAAGGCUGCAAUUGAGGGAUUUAAGCAGUAAUUAAGUGAAGCCUCAGAGGAUAUUAAUCACAAUAAUGAUUAUCACACUUUUCAAAAGAAAUGGGGAAACGAUCCACGGUUUGAGGCAUUGGACUGCAAGGACCGGGAGCACCUUCUGAACGAAAGAAGGGGUGGGGUGCCUUGGCAUGCAACCAUGUGUCUAGUAGGUGAUCCCAAGAUCGAUUAAUGUAUCAGCCUUGGCAUACAACUGUGUGUCUAGUAGAUGAUCACAAGUUCGUUUCAUGUAUCAGCCUCUUGCAAAUGCAAGGUAAGACUGUGUACAAUUGAUCUAUAAUAGGUGACCCUUCACUGACCCCAUCAUGGUAGGAACUUUGCAGCACCAGUUUCCCUUAUAGUAUUCAACCUGAGAGAUUUAUGUUUAAUCCAGCCAUUUUCUGAUCCAGUAUUUAUAUUGCAGAUUUGCAACAAUGUUGCCAAAUGUAGAUCUUUUGGCUUAGAAAUGAAAGAUAAUGCUAGGAGCCACAUGUCCCAGGAUAGGUUGGGAUGAUUAACAUCAGUGUGAUGACUGAUAGCAGUGUCCUAAGAGUGCUUUAUAAGAGACUAAUAACCCAAGAUUGUGUUACCUUUUCAGUUGAAAGUUCAAUAUUUUGUCAAAAUUGGAGUGCAAUAUGUGUUAAUGUCUUGAUCCCUAUUAUAUGCUUGCUUUCAAUUUUUUCUAUUAAUAUUCUGUGAUACUCAUGUGGUCUAUACUACUGCAUUCAAGGUUCUAAUCCUGCAAUACUGGUUUCUAAGGGUCUCAGAUUGAUAAUGUUAAAAGAACAAAUCAUUAAGGUCGUGCAUGGUUCAGCUUAAAUUAAUACUGGGAAAUAUUUUGGUUGAGACAGUGGGUUCAAAUAUCCAUAUACUUGCUUGGUAGUUGUAACAGUAACACUUGUUUUUGUUGGAAAAUAGCCACCUUCUAGGCUCUAGCGCAUCUAGUUGUUACCUUAGGAAUGAAAGAAUAAUUUAUCCUUCGUUACUCCUUUAUGUUUUACCUUAUUUUCCAAGGAUUCCGAGAGAGGGAAUUUCUGCUGGCAUAACACGAUUCCUUAUAACAAAAGACAAAAAGGAAAAUGAAUAAAGUCAUGCUUACUGCAAGCAGGUGUCUUCUUAUUUAACCAGUGUCAGCACGUUUGUUGUAUGCAACAGUUCAUUCAAAAUGAAUGCCACCUUGUGAGCCAUUCCUUUUGAUUUUUGUUUCUCAAAAUUUGGUACAUCUGACUCAGCUAAGUUCUUACCUUUGUCUGUAUAUAUGUUUUUUUAGUUUGGAUCCUCAUUUGCAUGAUAUUGAACUUUUCCUAGACAGAGAAAUGAUUUCUAAUGAUAAUGCUUGAAAGCAACAUGAGUCAGCAGGUAGUAGGCUAAUGACAGACUCUCGGACUCACUGUGGAGUGCUUCCUUUGAAGAAAGCUGUUGAAGAAAAAGCUCAAGAAAUACGUGAUGCAGCUGCUGCCAGUUUUAAGUCAAUGCUUUAAGAACAAGGAGAUAUAACUUUUAACUCCCGUUAGUCCCGGGUAUGGAAUCAUUAUGAAGAAGUUGCGACAUACUUAUCUGUUUUUGGAUAUGCAGGACUUUGAGGCACGUGUUGUAACCCAAUUGUUGUGUCUGUAGGAUAUAUACACAAAAUCGAUGGGUCUAUUUUUUAUUCAAUUCAAAUCGUUAGCCCAAUUCACAGGCUUAAUUCAUAUCAGUUGAAUUCUAUGGAAACCUUUCCUGUUUUGUUGACUAAAUAAAUUUGUUUGGUUUGGUAUUUUACCCCUAGAAUUGGAAACGAUCUGGAAACAAUCGAAAAAGGGGAAAUAGAUCAAUUCCAAUUUCUCUAGGACUUAGUAAGAAUAAGAAAGAGGACUGAUACUUGCAUACCAUGAUUAGGCAUGUUUAGAAACUUCUCUUGGUUCUACAAAAGAAAAUGAUAAAAUUCCUUUUAGUAGUAGUCAAUCUAUGUACAAUAUUUUGAAGUUGAUGCUCAAUUACGUAUAAAUUUUGGUAUAAUUUUAGGAGAAAUUCUAUAAUUUGAGGGCAAUAUACCUUUAGUGGUAUGAUGUUAAGCUAAUAUUUUUUUAAGGGAUGACCCAAGACAUAAAUCUGUGAAACAUGAGGAUAGGGAAGUUUUGUUCAAUGAGUAUAUAUCCGAGUUGAAAGCUGCUGAACAUGCAGCAGAACAAGAGAGCAGAGCUAAAAAGGAGGAGCAGGUACUAGGUGGUUAAUACUUAAUAUGUGAUGGAUGUCUUUUAAAUCAACAGAAAGUUAGUAAAUUGAAGAAGGAAUAACUGUUAUCCACUUGUUUUUUAUUGAUUCCUUGACAUGAUGCUUCUGUUAGUUCCUAGCAGGUAAAUAGUGUUAAACUACUUCAAAUAUACCAUUUUUGACUAAAUGGAAGCUAAUUUUGUUGGAGUAUCUUCUAUGAUGGGUAUCAGAGGUGUCUCUUUCAUUGAAGAUUUUUCUGUUUUAUGUUGGAUGGUGUUGUUUAAGUUGACAUUUCAAUUUACUUGUAUACAUAUGUUCUCCUAGCA